UUGGUAAGUAACCGUCGAUCGCGAGGUGCAUUUUAUCCACAAAUGUUCAUAAUAAUCCAUAAGUGUUUGUUGUAAUCCAUUAAUGUUCCCAAUUAUCCAUAAAUGUUCACAAUAUCUCCAAUUGCACACAGUGUCAAAGUAGUCCAGAUUUAUCCAUUGACAUACGCUACGACUCCCACUGGACCUCCUAUCCGACACCUCAAAUGACGUUUUG